GACACACUUGUGCUUUAAUUGGUGGGUUGGUAUUUGUGAAUGUGAACAUACAUGCCAGUGGUAAGGUAACAGAGAUGCUGAGUUAUGCUGAGUUGAGAGUAGGGCACCACAAGGAGACACUUCCCAAAACAAAGGUUAUGUGCUUAAGAGGAGUUCAUUGAAGAACUUAUGUUGUGAAUGCAACGGACCGACUUCAUAAAACAGAGAACACUAUGCCAAGCCAUUUAUGUGCAUUAAAUAACUCCUUACUCACUGGACCUGGGAGUUUCUUGUAGCACGUCCAGGUCUAUCUGUAUAAUAUGAAAUAGAAUGCCACAGGUGUCAUCUUCUUCUCUCCUUCACAGGAUUCCCUGCUGUUGUGGUUGCAAUCACACUGGGAGUGACUUACAGAGUGGAUGAUCCUUUGGGCUAUCGACGAGAAGAGUUCUGUUGGCUUGCGGCUCUGAACCAAGAUGAGGAGUUUGACUUCGGAAAGCCACUUUUUUGGGGCUUUUUGCUUCCAGUAGCUAUUAUGCUGCUUUUGAAUACUGCAGUGUUAAUAUACUUUGGAAUUUCUACAUGCAAGAAGGAUCCCCUGUUAAGCAGCACAAGCAGCACCUCACUGAAGAAGUUGUUCAUGAGCAGCUUCUCUCUGGGGGCUCUCCUCGGCCUUACUUGGGUUCUGGGCUACCUGGUAAUCUCUACCACUGACCCAACACUGAGCAACAUCUUCAGCAUAUUAUUCUGUGUGUGUAACACCACCCAGGGCGUACAGAUCUUCAUUUUGUUCACGGUGAGGACAGCCUUCUUCAGGAAGAUCACACAUUCAGCCAGAGAAACAUGAAUGACAGAGACACCACACAUCUGGUGCAAAUAAUAGCAAAUGACUGAUCAUCCCCUCGGUUCGAAUUACGCUGAGGCCUGGGAUUGCCCUUAGUUCUGGCCAGGGCAACCCUAGUUCCAUUUGAAAUGGUUGUUUUUUUUUUUUGGGGGGGGGGUGUCAUUCUGAUCUAGAAUUCAUUAAUUUCUAAAACUGAUGGUGGUUGACAUGAAUCGUCUGUGGCAACACCAAGCUUUAGACGCUAAAUUAUUAAUAACAGAGAGAGGAAGUAAAAAACAGACAAAAGCAAAGCGAAUUAUGACCAUGGCAACCAA